rnacentral:rRNA from 1 species
UACGUAGGGACCGAGCGUUGUCCGGAAUCAUUGGGCGUAAAGAGCGUGUAGGCGGCCACUUAAGUCCUGCGUGAAAUCUUGCGGCUCAACCGCAAGCGGUCGUGGGAAACUGGGUGGCUAGAGUGCGGGAGAGGAGAGUGGGAUCCUGGUGUAGCGGUGGAAUGCGCAGAUAUCAGGAAGAACACCCGUGGCGAAGGCGGCUCUCUGGAACGCAACUGACGCUGAGACGCGAAAGCGUGGGGAGCAAACAGG